rnacentral:lncRNA from 1 species
CAUCUAGGUGAGAGGUCCGCGGUGAAUUGCUAAACUGGCUCACAAUACUGACAACAAUGUGAGAUCGGGGUCUUGUAUCGUCAAAUAAAUGAGGGCGACCCACAGUCUGCUGAUAGAUAGAUGGACUGGCACAAUUCCCCCGGACUCGGGCUGAUAUCUUUAAAUUUGGUACCAUAGGAGUAUGAGCAUGUCGACAUCCAAGCAUGUGCCCUGUAUCGCUGAAGGAGAUCAAGGAAUACUUCCGCUGGGAGAGAGAUAUACCAUGCGAGAACCGAGCAAACCGCAUACCGAAGGAAGUAACGCAGAGGGACCCAAAUCCUUAAUAUCAAACGCUUUCCGGAGCCCACUUUUACCUGAACUAUGCCAGAAGCUGUCGUCUCCCGUGAUAAUAAUAUCAUCACCUAACUGAGAUAAUAUACACCGACCCCUGAGACUUGCUACGAAUAAUCAAUAUGAUCUGAGUGGCCAAACCUGCGAAAAAUCCAUAGACAAGACACCUCACUGAAGCGGUGGAACCAAGCUCUCGAGGAGAUUGCUUAAGGGCCAUAGAUAGAUUUUCGAAGUCGACAAACCCUUCCUCAAUACUCCCCCUCCCCCUCAUACUCCCCCUGAGGCCCGCCCGAAAACCUGGAGGUGGAUCCAUAUUAUAGUCUCUGAAGAUCACCAUUAAGAAGCAUUCUUUGACAUCUAAUUGGUGACGAGGCCACAGUGAGAAGCAAGCUAAGGGAAAUCAGAAGGCGAACUGGGUUUAAUUUGGCAACUGGGGCCAAAACGUCGUCACCAAAAUCCUUAGUACCCGGAAUCUGAGUAAAACCCUGAGCAACAAGACGAGCCUUAUAUCGAUCAACCGAUCCAUCCGCCAAAUACUUGACACUAAACACCCCUUUACACCCAUAGUGGCGCUCUCCUUCGUAAAGCAAUAGUCCAUAUCUGAUUUCGCUGAAGUGCGCUCCAUCUCCGCCUUCAUAGCAACACCCACAAGGAUUGUGGAGUUCUUCAUGGACUGACGAGGAUGGAAAUCGAAUCCACUUGACUAAGAAAAGAUUUAUAGAAUCUUAAAGACCUUGAUAAGACAUAUUAUGGGCAUAGGAUAUUAUUACUUUUGAGAAAAAGAAAGCAGGACGUGGGGACGACCCGACACUUGUGGGAUACCGAGGUGGGGGAAUAUCCAGAAACAAAGGUAAAGACAUAAUACCUGACUCCGAUAGAAGAUGCUGGCAAGGGAACCUGAGCGCGGGACGGGGGUCCUGAGAGGGCGAUUGGGGACAGGGAUCCAUUUGGUGUAGGAGUAGGUUAAGUAGGCUCAAGUAUAGGUAAGAGGACCUAGGAGGUAUGGGUUCAUCUUUCGCAAGUAUACCUCAGACCCAUGGAUUUCGAUUAAAAUUAAAAUAAAAUGGAAUCAGUUUCCAAAACGUGACAUCUAGAACGAGUGAAAUAUGGCCGCGUUGACAGGAUCAUAAAACACCUAUAUCCCUUGGACAUCAGGAAUACCCGAGGAAGAUACGAACGACGGCCUUAUAUCACACGUUUUUGGUACGAGUGGCCUUUUAUUUUGAAACAAAACACGUGCAACCAAAAUACACAGGAAUAAUGGAAAUAGGGUACUAGCAGCUGAAGGUAUGGAGAGAUCCUUGCCUUUAGAACCCGACUGGGAGUUUCGAUUGAUAGUGUAGGUGUCGGUGAGAACUGCCGUGUGCCAAAAUACUUAGGUACACCCCUACCCCGGAAGAGACACCGGACCACUGCAUAUAUGACGAUUUUUAACGUUCCGCUAAGUCCCAUACCCCAUUCUGCUCAAGUGUAUAAGGGGGGGACAUGUACAUGUAAGUUUUCUGGAGUAAUACCACAUUUACUUAAGUUCCGCACGAAACUUCUUCGUGGGAAAUUAAAAAAAAUAACCCUCUCGACCAUUAUCUCCCGAGAUGUUUUACGUACAACCGUAUUAUACUGGGUUUGAAUCAUUUUGUGAGGAAGUGGUAAGUGAGAAAAGACCUCAGAUUUAUGAUGCAUAAGGUAGACCCAGUACACCGCGUUUAAUCAUCGAUGAAGGUUACAUAAUAUCGAUGUUGAGAGAGAGCAGUAACUGGUGAAGCCCCCAUACAUCAGAAGGAAUACGGAUCAAAACACUGGUGCACAAUAAUCAGCAUACGAGAAUAAGAGACGAGUAUGCUUCGAAACUCACAAACAUCACAUUGGAAAAUUAAAAUUUUGACAUGCUUUUUGACCGAGGGAAACAACCAACAUAAAUACGGAAGUUAGCAUGCCCUAAACGGUCAAUGGGGCCACAACUCUAAAGGUUUGAAACGAAAAGACCAACGACUUUAAAACAGAAGGGACUUAAAACGAUGAACUCUAACAUUGGGAUGAGAGAAACCUGAAAGGCUAGAUGACACGCACUAGAUUGUAAAGAUCCCCAAGUAGUAUAGUCCAAUCGCGGCUCAUACCCCCUGCCAAAAAUCUUCUUCGAAUUCAGGUCUGUUAAAGACACGAGAUGUAAGAA